UCCCUUCACAGCAGACUGAGUGCAUUCCGAGCGGGAGCAACUCCAAAAGAGUCUUUAAGGAAGCAUUUUAGGUGUUAGCCUCUAGGCCUUGCCCAGACAGGAAACCCCUGAAUCUCAGAUUUUUUCAACUGUAAGAACGCAGCAUCUCUGACAUUCUUUCUGCUCAGGGAGCUCAAGAAUAGCAUUCUCAGACUGUUCACCAACAAGCCAUGCUGUCAGUGACCAUCUUCCUCCUUGGACUGCCCUUCACCCUGAGAAGAAGUGGAGCCCAGUCCGUGGCCCAGCCUGACCCCAGAGUCACCGUCACUGAAGGAGACCCUCUGCUGCUGAAGUGCAACUAUACCUAUGGUGCAACACCUUCUCUCUUCUGGUAUGUCCAGCGACCUGGCCAAGGCCUCCAACUUGUCCUCAAAUACAUAUCAGGGCCAUCCAUGGUUACAGACAGCAGAGGUUUCAAGGCUGAAUUUAAGAAGAGUGAAUCCUCCUUCCACCUGGAGAAGGCCUCAGCCCAUUGGAGUGAUGCAGCCCUGUACUUCUGUGCUCUGAGCACACAGUGCUCAGGGCUACAGGGGAAGCUGAACACAAACCCUCUGAAAUAUGGGACUUUCUGUGACUUGUGGGCACAGUCUGACCUGUUUUUAGCAAGGGCUCUCAUGUGAUGAAACUGAGCAGGGUGGAGGAACAGAGAUAGGAAGAAUGUUCAACUCCUGCAAAGAAAAGAACUACAAGUUCCUUUUUUCAGUACUGGGUAGAACACAGAGACUCAUGAAUGGUCUCCUUCUGGUGGAGAUGUUACAUUCUAGGGACUCAGGGUUCUAAUUUAAUGUAACCAGUGCCAAGAUACUGAUAUUUCUUCUGCUCAUCUGCAAAUCGUUCCAUCUACCAACUUUUAUUUUUCAACAGGUAACAACUCCAUUCACUCAGUGUCUUUGGACACAAAUAUAGUUAUCUUUCUGUUAUGGUUUGUGUCUGUGUGUCCCCCCAAAGCCUAAUGCAGU